rnacentral:rRNA from 1 species
UGUUUUUUUGAAUAAAAAUUUAAAAUUUAAUCUGCUCACUGAAUUUUAAAGAGCCGCAGUAUUUUGACUGUGCAAAGGUAGCAUAAUAAAUAGCUUUUUAAUUGGAAGCUGGAAUGAAUGAUUGGAUGAAAAAUUAACUUUCUUAAAUUUAAUAUUAAAAUUUAAUUUUUUAGUUAAAAAGCUAAAAUUUUUUUAAAAGACGAGAAGACCCUAUAGAUUUUUAUUUUAUUUUUUUAAAAGUUUUGUUUUUUAUGAAUAUUUUAAUUUAAAUUUAAAUUUUGUUGGGGUGACAUAAAAAUAUUAAUAACUUUUUAAUUUUUUUUUGAUUAUUUAUAAAUAAUUUUUUGAUCUUUUAUUUUGAUUAUUAGAUUAAAUUACCUUAGGGAUAACAGCGUAAUUUUAUUGGAGAGUUCAUAUUAAAAAUAAAGUUUGCGACCUCGAUGUUGAAUUAAGAAAAUUAAUGGAUGAAGAAGGUCAUAAAAUUAGUCUGUUCGACUAUUAAAUUCUUACGUGAUC